rnacentral:lncRNA from 1 species
UAAAGAAGAAGGAAGAGUGGUUACUGAGGUAGGAAGGGAGCCCGGAGGAUGAUCUGUAUGACAGGUAAGAGGUGAUGAGGGUUUCAGCUAGGUGAGAGUGAUGCCAGAGAGGCCUGAGAGACAGGCUGAAGAGGGCAUGGUUUCUGGAGUGGGUCACAGAGCCUUUCAACAGUGAAGCUAGUUAACAGUGGGCAAGACAUGUUAACUGGAAAAUGUUGCCUGGAAAAUGAUGAAGGGAAAGUGUGUUUUGAAAGAAGGCCAUGAAUAUGUGUAAAUGGUGAAGGGAAGAGGCAGAGAGAAGAGUGAAGAGUGUGGGCAAAGGGCCAGAAGAAGCAUGCUGGGACAGAGUGGGAUGAGGUGGGCUUAGCGGCACCAUCCCUGAUCCUGGAGGAAGAGAAGGAAGUGAAGGUGCAGACGUCAGUGGUUAGGCUCCUGAGAGGCAGAGGAAUGGCCAUUCAUUGAAGGUAGUUGACUAAAUCUAAGCAUACCAGAGAAACUGGGGUGAGAAAGAGAUAACACUUCCGAAAACAGACAAGCAAGAGGUUUAGGGAAGGAUUGUGAGUCUGACUGAGAUGGGAUGCAUCCAUCCCAGACCACGUGGCCUGCUCCAACCGUCCUUAGCAACGGGGGGGGAGGGGGGGGUGUAAGCACAACUGCAGAGAUCAUGAACAGUAGGCUCUAACCAAGGUUUGGUGGUUCUGAAAAAGGGCACAAUAGAAAAACCAAAGCCCAGGGCUGGAAACGUUCCCGGCGUGGUGCUUAGAAUUAAACUCAGGUCGUCAUGCUUACAUGGAAAGCACUUUACCAGCUUAGCUAUCCCCAGAGUCCCCAGCCCAGAUAAUGAGUAUUGGCUAGUGGGAAGAAAGAUUAGCAGCAGGGCCUGGGAGAGACUGGGAGAAGUGGGGAGGGUCUAAAGGACACUUAGUAUGGGAAAACGGCAGGUAUGGUGACAUGAAGCUAUGGUCAAGCAGAGGCUUGUAUCAGUGGGAGUGAAUGACCAAGAAGAAUAAGAAGAAGGGGUUAGUGGCCUAAUGGUGAAGAGGUUAAGACCAAGAGGCCAGUUUGAGGGUGAGUGAGUGUUACCUCACCAAUGUAUGGCAGGAUGUAGGGUGCAGACAACACCAGUUGCCAGGGGUCAACAGUUUUGAUGGGCCUUUCUCUCCAAGAUCAGUUUUGAAUUACUGUUGCCCUUCUUAAAAUAAGUCAUGCCCCUUAAGAAAACCAGAGCAAAAGAGAAAUUUAUCUCUUGACCUGUCACACAGUGCCUACCUGAUUUACUCUAGAAUGACUCUUUGUUUGCUUAUUUGUUUUGAUUUGUUUUUCCGCUUUUUCAAGACAGGUUUUCUCUGUGUAUUCCUGGUUGUACUGGAACUUGCUAUGUAGAUGAGGCUGGCCUCAAUCUCAUAGAGAUCCACCUGACUCUACCUCCUGAGGGCUGGGAUAAAAGUGUGCAGUGUACAUUCCGGCACUAUGAAAGCUAAGCAGUUGGGGAUG